GGGUACUGGCGGCCGGUGUAGCGUGCGACUGCGCGACACAGGCGGCGAGAUCCAAAACAGACCGCUAAACAUGUAGAUCUGCCUGGUGAAGGCUUGCGGACGCGGGUUCAAUUCCCGCCAGCUCCACCA
rnacentral:tRNA from 1 species